UGAGGAACAUGACCUUCGGCGGGGGAUAGCCGACCCAACGGCCGGGUAAUACCGCGUACGACCUUUCGGGGACAUCCCUGGAUGGUGAAAGCAGCAAUGCGCCGAUGGAGUGCCUCGCGGCCUAUCAGCUAGUUGGUGAGGUAACGGCUCACCAAGGCGACGACGGGUAGCUGGU
rnacentral:rRNA from 1 species